GACACUCCAGACUUGUGUGUGACACAUGCUGUGGCACUCCAGGCUGUGUGUGACACUCCAGGCAGUGCUGUGACACUCCAGACUGUGUGUGACACUCCAGGCUGUGUGUGACACUCCAGGCUGUGCUGUGACACUCCAGGCCGUGCUGUGACACUCCAGGCCGUGCUGUGACACUCCAGGCUGUGCCUCCUGCCCCUCAGGGUGGUUUUGGGGUUCACCUGCAACAUUCAGAUCCUGCUCUGGAGCAAAUCCCCGGACGUGGAGAGGUUGGAUCAUCUCACCAGAUGUCAGGAGAGCAGAUUUCGGAGGCAUGGGCAGACACCCGGGGAGCAGGAGUGACAUUAAUGGACGUUUCCCCACCGGAACCAAACAAAUAAUGGGGAAAACCAGAAUAUCGGCACCGAAACCCCCACAUUGCCAUGAAGCUCCCUGGAAAAGCCCCGCAGGGAACCCCCAGCAGGAGCCCCCAGGGCCAGAGCCCAGGGGAUGCUGCCACCAGCACUCUGCGGCUCCGGGGUUUCCACGUUCCCAAGGGAAGACCAAAGGAAUUGUGUCCCUGCAAGGAAACUGAAAUGGAGACACGAAAUCCAAACAGCACUGAGGCAUUUUUUCCUUUCCCAAAUCCUUUCAUCCCUCUCUUUGACUUCUGGAAUUCUUCCAGGCUGCCUGUUCCAUCU
rnacentral:lncRNA from 12 species